rnacentral:rRNA from 1 species
GGAGUUAGCCGGUGCUUCUUCUGCGAGUAACGUCACAGAUGUAAGGUAUUAACUUACACCCUUUCCUCCUCGCUGAAAGUGCUUUACAACCCGAAGGCCUUCUUCACACACGCGGCAUGGCUGCAUCAGGGUUUCCCCCAUUGUGCAAUAUUCCCCACUGCUGCCUCCCGUAGGAGUCUGGGCCGUGUCUCAGUCCCAGUGUGGCUGAUCAUCCUCUCAGACCAGCUAGGGAUCGUCGCCUAGGUGAGCCUUUACCUCACCUACUAGCUAAUCCCACCUGGGCUUAUCCAUCAGCGCAAGGCCCGAAGGUCCCCUGCUUUCCCCCGUAGGGCGUAUGCGGUAUUAGCAGUCGUUUCCAACUGUUAUCCCCACAAAUGGGCAAAUUCCCAGGCAUUACUCACCCGUCCGCCGCUCGUCAUCUUCAAAAGCAAGCUUUUGAAAUGUUACCGCUCGACUUGCAUGUGUUAGGCCUGCCGCCAGCGUUCAAUCUGAGCCAGGAUCAAACUCGA